ACUCCUACGGGAGGCAGCAGUAGGGAAUCUUCGGCAAUGGACGAAAGUCUGACCGAGCAACGCCGCGUGAGUGAAGAAGGUUUUCGGAUCGUAAAACUCUGUUGUUAGAGAAGAACAAGGACGUUAGUAACUGAACGUCCCCUGACAGUAUCUAACCAGAAAGCCACGGCUAACUACGUGCCAGCAGCCGCGGUAAU
rnacentral:rRNA from 1 species